GACGAACCGUGCGAACGUUAUUCGGAAUCACUGGGCUUAAAGCGCGUGUAGGCGGAUGGGGACGUCGGUCGCUGAAAGCCCCCGGCUUAACCGGGGAACGGGCGCCGAAACGCCCCGUCUCGAGGGACGUAGGGGGACCUGGAACUUCCGGUGGAGCGGUGAAAUGCGUAGAUAUCAUUUGGAACGCCAACGGAGAAAUCAGCUCGCUGGGGGUGUGCUGACGCUGAGACACGAAAGCCAGGGGAGCGAACGGG
rnacentral:rRNA from 1 species